CUGCACGGUGCUAACCCCGGGCUUGUCGGAUUACUACCCUUGAAGGAGGAAGCCCCAAUGCCUGUGCCAGAUCCAGCACGCCAUUCAGUGUUGCAGGCCAUGACAAAUCUUGUGAGUGGUCUGUGUCAAAGCAAUGGAUACAGAU
rfam:Dichanthelium oligosanthes cultivar Kellogg 1175 unplaced genomic scaffold Do_version_2_scaffold625, whole genome shotgun sequence.